rnacentral:tRNA from 1 species
GGGGCUGUAGUGUAGCUUGGCUAUCAUUUCUGGUUUGGGAUAAAAACCAGACGACCCCGGUUCAAAUCCGGGCAGCCCCA